AAUCAUCGACGGACGCACUCCUCCUCCCAGUGUCCUCGAUGGGACCAGCAACACCUCCUCCUCCCGGUUGUUGGUCAGUUUCAGAAACCCGGCGCACCUCCUCCCGCGCCGGGUUUUCUGU
rnacentral:sRNA from 1 species